UGUAUAAUUAAUAUUUUUAAAUUUGAUUUAAUUAAUUCUAAGCCGUUUUAAUGUUAAAUAAUAGUGAUAUUUUCAAUUUAUUGAACACAUUUAAUUAAAUCCAAAGAGCCCUUUCCACAUCCUUUCUGAGCAUGCGCAGAGAAUGAAAAAAAUCUUCGCGCAUACGCAUUCGCCUUCUUCAUCUACGCCACAGUGUGCUUUGGCCACGUGUCUGGAAAGAGGGAUUAAUCACAAUUCAUCCGCUGGAGUUAAGGUUGCUGCUUGUGGAAUUUGGAGCUGUGGAGAUUUGAGCUGUGCUCCAAAAGUGCAUGUAAAGAGUUCCCGAAUCGAAGUGAAGUGAAGUGUGAAUGCAUCCUUCAAGCUGUGAUUAUAUACCUGAAUGAGAACCCUCAAAAUAUCAUCAAAGAGUACAUGGAUUUCAACGUGAUGGACGCUGAAGAGCUCGAAAGGAUGGAUUUGGGGUGUUUAUAAAAUAAUCCACGAAGGAGCACAGCCUGAUGACUCCCUUGAAGAUGUUGGCAUCUUUAUCGAGAGAUGCACCGUCUUGCAGGAUCUUCACGAUGUGGCGAGCAGGUGUGCACUUUUGUUUGGGCUAAUUAACUGCCUCAAUCUGAGUUACCCAAAGCCACUUCGCUACACAUUUGAGUUCCUCCAGAAGGUGCUCAUGGGACUGGAAGACAAAAAACUGUCUAACAAAAUACAAGUGCUGAAGAACAAACUCUGCCAAAAGGAGACGCAUUGACUCUUCCAGAUCGAAAUGUC